GGAUGCGAUCAUACCAGCACUAAAGCACCGGAUCCAAUCAGAACUUCGAAGUUAAGCGUGCUUGGGUGAGAGUAGUACUAGGAUGGGUGACCUCCUGGGAAGUCCUCGUGUUGCAUUCC
rnacentral:rRNA from 2 species